rnacentral:rRNA from 1 species
GGAAAUCUCACCAGGCCCGGACACUGGAAGGAUUGACAGAUUGAUACCUCUUUCUUGAUUCUGUGGGUGGUGGUGCAUGGCCGUUCUUAGUUGGUGGAGUGAUUUGUCUGGUUAAUUCCGAUAACGAAUGAGACUCUGUCCUGCUAAAUAGUGACGCGGUUCAUCGAACCGUGGGCCACUUCUUAGAGGGACUAUCGGAUUCAAACCGAUGGAAGUGUGAGGCAAUAA